GACGAACGCUGGCGGCGCGCUUAACACAUGCAAGUCGAGCGAAGCGGCGGACGGGUGAGUAACACGUGAGUAACCUGCCUUAGACAUUGGGAUAGCCUCGGGUAACCGGGAUUAAUACCAAAUGGUCUAAGAUUGACUCGCGUGCCAUUAGCUAGUUGGUGGGUAACGGCCCACGAAGGCGACGAUGGGUAGCCGGCAUGAGAGAGUGGACGGCCACAUUGGAACUGGGAAACGGUGCAGACUCUGCGGGAGGCAGCAGUGGGGGAUAUUGCAACAUGGAGGGAACUCUGAUGCAGCGACGCCGCGUGAACGAAGGAGGCUAUCGAGUUGUAAAGUUCUUUUAUAUGGGAAGCGGUACCAUAAGAAAAAGCCCCGGCUAACUACGUGCCAGCCGCCGCGGUAAUAC
rnacentral:rRNA from 1 species